UGAUGAGUAUGUGUAUUGGAUCAUUGGUUAUAUGGUUUUGUGGUAUUUUUGGUGGAAGACGCAUGCAAGAAGGUUGAGAUGUAAUCGCAGUUUACUGAAGGAGAAAAACAGUGAUUGACACACCAUUGAUGACGUUAUGUUACAGGUACAAAAUAAUUGUAUAAACUCUUUAUAAAUAGUAAAAUAUAAAAUAGAUUAGUUUUCCAAAACAAGAUUAAGUAUGGUUCUAGCUACUAUUCCAUUUACAGAUCCCAGCAACACUCCCUAACACCCCCAAAACACUAAAACCAAACCCCCUCCACAACCCUUAAAUACUAAACCCAAUUUCCAACCCCUAAAUACUAAAUUCGAAUCACUAAACUCAAACCCUAUUCUAAACCCUAAACUCUAAUCAUUAACCCUAAACCCAAAUAUAAAAUAUAAUAUAAAGUUAUAAUACAUAUAAAGAAUAUGUGAAUAGAAAAAAUAAGCUAUUCCACUUAACAUAAAUUGUAUAGAAAUAUCAGAGCGUUGUAGAUUAUAAGAUACCCAAAUAUAAAAUACUAUUCCAUUUACAGACCCCACCAACACUCCCCUAACAUCCCCAAAAUACUAAACCCAACCCCCUUCCCAACCCUUAAAUACUAAACCCAAUGUCCACCCCUUAAAUACUAAACUCUAAAUCCGAAUCAUUAAACUCAAAUCCUAUACUAAAUCCUAAACUAUAAUCAUUAACCCUAAACUCAAAUAUAAAAUAUAAUAUGAAGUUAUAAUACAUAUAAAUAAUAUGUGAAUAGAAAAAAUAAGCUUAUUCCAUUUAACACAAAUGAUAUAGAAAUACGAGAGCGUUGUAGAUUAUAUAGUUUUGUAGUUUGAAAGGUGAAAAAGAAUAACAUUUCUUAAUCAUUAAACAAAAUAAAACACGAUAAACAUUAUAUUACUUAUUAAUUAUUAAUGAAUACUACGAAGAAGAGAAAUGUUAAUAUGCCAUCAUGUUCCAUUUCAUUGAAAUAAUACAUAAAUACAACAGGAGUGUAUAUAUUAAAUAGUAUAGUAAUUACAAUUAUGCAAAUAAUACUACUAUGUUAUAUACCUUUCUGCACUGAACAUAGUAUAGUUGCCGAAUUAUAAAAUUUUUGUUGGUCAUAUAGUCCAAUUUCCCAAAACAAUCUUGGUUUAAAUUCAUUUUCAAAUUUUUUUGUAGCAUCAUCUGCAAAUUAUGAUUUUAAAGUAAUUAUUAGUUUGAAUCUACUUUUAUAAAUUUAUAUUAUAGUAGAAGACUAUAAUAGAUAAUUAAUUUCAUAAUAAUAUAAUUUUACAAAAUCCUGUUCAGAAUAGCUAUUCAGUGUCAAUAUUACUUGAUCUGAAAAUGUAGUACACAAUAUAUGUAUUGAAAAUAUAAUAUUAUGAAUAAAAUAACAAUAUUUCAUAAAAAAAAUACUAAUAAAAAUUAUGGUAAUUUUUAAGGAAACAAUAAACUAAUUAUAUAUAUAAUAAAACCAAUGUACAAAGAUCAUUUUCAAAAGGUAAUCAAAUAAAAAUAAAACAGCAACCAAUUAUACUCUAAAAACUAACAAUAAUAUUUUUUUAAAUAAUCUUAACCGGUUUGGAUGAUAUGGUUUAUUUGAAUUUUUUAAUAAAAUAUAUGUAUUCUUAAAUAAUAAUUUUUUAUUGUCAUGCUAUUUAACUAGCUUUAGAAACAAAAUUUUAAUUUUUAUAUUAUCUACACCAAUAGGUUUAAAAACAUAUAAAAGACAAGAAAAGUAACAAUAUAUAUAUAUAUAUAUAUAUAUACAUAUAAGAAUGAAAAUAAUUCAUGAUUUAUGCAUUGAAUUUCAGCUGUAAUACAAGUACUUUACUUACUUUUAUAAUAAAGGUAUGAUUAACAUUAAAAAGGUAAAAAUAAUUUCAAUAAUGAAAAAUAAUUUCAAUAAUGAAAAAUAAUUUUUAAAACAUUUAUUUUUAAUAAAAACAACAAAAACAAAUAGUAAAGAUUAACAUUUUUUUAGUUUAGAACAAAACAAAUAUUCUUACACGUAUAUUAACAUAUAAUAUAUUUUAAUUAUUUUUUAUUUGCUUGCCCGCCUAUAAACCAGAUUUAACCUUAGUAUCAUAUAAAACAAACCAACUUCAGAAUUCUACAAUUUCACAUGCAACACAUCAAAUUUCUUCUCCAGUUAUUAAGAAGUAUUUUAAAAGCAAUAAAAUUUAAUACAAAAAGACUAGCAUUUAUUUCUUAUUGGAUCCUUAAACAGUAUGGAUAAAAAAAGAUUAAAGCAAAUAAAAAUAUAUGCAAAUUGCGUAAGAAAAUAACAAUACUAAAAGGCCAAUAUGCUGAGUUUAUAGCCUGUCCACGUCACUUAAAAUAUUCUUCCAAUCAUAACAUUUUAUUUUGACACGUCAGUGCAUCUUUAGUCUAGAAAAAAAAAAUACCGGGCCAUUAGUCUAUGCUUUUAAUAUUUCGCAAUGGCUCAGUUCAAGCCCAUCUUACCAAAAUCCUAAAGAUAGUGGACGAGAAUGACUUCUUCCAUUUCCUUAUCGUUUCAGCUCUCUGUAAAUGGACGUUAUCAUCAUCACUCUCGAUCAUUCAAUGGUGUUCUUUACUUUUUCAUCGCAGUUUUGUUCCACCUCCCUUUAUAUAGAGCUUGCAGUUCGUCUACAAGUUACUGAUCGGGUCUACGGUUUCGAUCCAGUCUCAUCAAUCUGAGAUUUAUUGUUACCCAAGAAGAACAGCGAUGCUUGGAAGUUUGUCAUGGAUUUCUCCUCCUCAUCUUCUGGUACAAUGCAAAGCCUACGAAGUAGUUGUGUUCGAAGAUAUCUUCCACGUCUUUCAUAAAUGAAUGUUAUUGAUGCAACUAUUCUGCCAAAAGUCGGUUUUUACGGGUCAACUCACAGAGCACGAAAAGUGACAACGACGGUGUGUGAAUCAGAAGUUGCUAUCAAUCAAGCUCUUCGCAUCGCAGUCGGUGAGACUUUAUUCUUCUUCUAUUUCCUUCAAGAGUUUGAAAUAGCCAAAGCCUAUUUCGUUUAGUGCCUGGACUCUCUUCUACUUGCUUUCUAAACCAUUUGAUCAGAACUCUCCAUCUAAUUUAUCAUGAGGAACACGUAGUUCAUAAUAUUGGUAAAUGUGGAAGUUUAAUAAAGAAAGUGGAAAAUUAUUUACAUUGUAUAGUUCAUGGUCUUCUUUUUCAGUUUGGCGUUAGUUGGUGGAACUCUUUUGUAGAAGAUAAUUGGCUUGGGUGGAGUCUUUUGCUGUAUAAUACAAUUAUCAUAAGAUUCCCAAAAGCCAUGUCUUUAACAGUCCUCUGUGUGAGCAAGUAUGUAUUUUGAAUCCUUCACAUCUUUACCUGUUUGGGUUUUAGGUUAGUCUUAUUGUUCUUGAUGAGUCAUUCAUAUAAGCUGUUUUUUAUCUGAUUGAGUCAGGGCAUUGCUGGAUUUGGUAUUGGUGUAGCAACAGCGUUGUGUUCUUCGCUGCAUUAUAUUUCUGUUUCUGUUGUACAUUGAUCUUGACAUAUUUAGGUGUUUGAUCUUGGCAUGAAAUGGAACAAAUGUGAAAAGGCAGUCGGUAGAUUACAUAUAUCCUACUUUUGAUUAGAUUGUUAAUGGAAUACAAGUGAGUGAAAAUGUAACAGAAGCAUCUACAAGAACAUGUCAAGUGAGAAAAUGUGUCUUCACAUCAUCUUUCUUAGCAUGCGCUUUGCAAGACAACCGUACAUCAACAGUAAGGUUUAAUAAAAUCACAACUUAUAUCUGCUUAAUUGACUAGAUAUAACAGUGCUCUUCAUCCACCAUAGUUAAAUAUAUCCUUCGACAUUAAUUCCAUUGCUUGGGUAUGCACUUGGAAAUGGUAUAACCCAAGAAAAACUAAAAGGAUUAGUUUUAACUUAGUUGUUACAUUUGCUUUUAUUUUUCUUUCAUUUUUUAUAUCAUGAUUUAUUAUCGUAAUUUAGUUUUCUCUACAAUAACUGUUAAAAAAAUUUCUACUGUGUUUUCUUUUGCGUAGAGGGAGGAGGGAGGUUUUUGUAAAGGCGGUACAAUUGAUAUUGAUGAAUACUUAUGAAUGAUUAUAAAAACUGUUAUUUUCCAACU